UACGUAGGGUGCGAGCGUUGUCCGGAAUUAUUGGGCGUAAAGAGCUCGUAGGCGGUGUGUCACGUCGGCCGUGAAAACCUGCAGCUUAACUGUGGGCGUGCGGUCGAUACGGGCAUCACUGGAGUUCGGCAGGGGAGACUGGAAUUCCUGGUGUAGCGGUGGAAUGCGCAGAUAUCAGGAGGAACACCGGUGGCGAAGGCGGAUCUCUGGGCAGUAACUGACGCUGAGGAGCGAAAGCGUGGGGAGCGAACAGG
rnacentral:rRNA from 1 species